rnacentral:rRNA from 1 species
AACGAACGCUGGCGGCAUGCCUAACACAUGCAAGUCGAACGAGACCUUCGGGUCUAGUGGCGCACGGGUGAGUAACGCGUGGGAACCUGCCCUUAGGUUCGGAAUAACUCCCCGAAAGGGGUGCUAAUACCGGAUAAUGUCUUCGGACCAAAGAUUUAUCGCCUUUGGAUGGGCCCGCGUUGGAUUAGCUAGUUGGUAGGGUAAAAGCCUACCAAGGCGACGAUCCAUAGCUGGUCUGAGAGGAUGAUCAGCCACACUGGGACUGAGACACGGCCCAGACUCCUACGCGAGGCAGCAGUGGGGAAUAGUGGACAAUGGGGGAAAGCCUGAUCCAGCAAUGCCGCGUGAGUGAUGAAGGCCUUAGGGUUGUAAAGCUCUUUUACCCGGGAUGAUAAUGACAGUACCGGGAGAAUAAGCGCCGGCUAACUCCGUG